UAAAAUUGGUAGAAAAUGAAAACCUAUUAAAUUCCGCAUUAAGGUGGGUAACAACAUUAUGGAAUUUAGGCUAAAUGGGCCUAGAUGACAAAAUUGGCUAAGUAGGGCCCAUUAAGGGUUUUGGGCCCAAUAACUCGGUUUCGCUAAAAAUGGGCCAUAAUUGCUGUUUAAAAUAUAAAAAUGGUUAGUAACUAAUAAUAAACAUGGAA
rnacentral:lncRNA from 1 species